GACAGAGGGUGCAAACGUUGUUCGGAAUUACUGGGCGUAAAGCGCGUGUAGGCGGCUAAGUAAGUCGGGCGUGAAAUCCCACGGCUCAACCGUGGAAGUGCACUCGAAACUGCAUAGCUAGAGUCCUGGAGAGGAAGGUGGAAUGCUUGGUGUAGAGGUGAAAUUCGUAGAUAUCAAGCGGAACACCGGUGGCGAAGGCGGCCUUCUGGACCGGCAUUGACGCUGAGGAGCGAAAGCCAGGGGAGCAAACGGG
rnacentral:rRNA from 1 species